UACGAAGGGUGCAAACGUUGCUCGGAAUUAUUGGGCGUAAAGCGCUCGCAGGCGGCUCGAUGCGUCGUGCGUGAAACACCCCGGCUCAACUGGGGAGGGUCGUGCGAUACGGUCGGGCUUGAGGCCAGUAGGGGGACGCGGAAUUCCUGGUGUAGCAGUGAAAUGCGUAGAUAUCAGGAGGAACACCGAUGGCGAAGGCAGGUCUCUGGGCUGACACUGACGCUCAUGCACGAAAGCGUGGGGAGCAAACAGG
rnacentral:rRNA from 1 species